AGAGUUUGAUCAUGGCUCAGAUUGAACGCUGGCGGAAUGCUUUACACAUGCAAGUCGAACGAUGAACCUUAGCUUGCUAAGGGGAUUAGUGGCGAACGGGUGAGUAAUAUAUCGGAACGUGCCUUGUAAUGGGGGAUAACUAGUCGAAAGAUUAGCUAAUACCGCAUACGCCCUGAGGGGGAAAGUAGGGGAUCUUCGGACCUUACGUUAUAAGAGCGGCCGAUAUCUGAUUAGCUAGUUGGUGGGGUAAUGGCCUACCAAGGCUUCGAUCAGUAGCUGGUCUGAGAGGACGACCAGCCACACUGGAACUGAGACACGGUCCAGACUCCUACGGGAGGCAGCAGUGGGGAAUUUUGGACAAUGGGCGCAAGCCUGAUCCAGCCAUUCCGCGUGAGUGAAGAAGGCCUUCGGGUUGUAAAGCUCUUUCGCAAGGGAAGAAAACUUACCUUCUAAUAAAGGGUGAGGCUGACGGUACCUUGAUAAGAAGCACCGGCUAACUACGUGCCAGCAGCCGCGGUAAUACGUAGGGUGCGAGCGUUAAUCGGAAUUACUGGGCGUAAAGCGUGCGCAGGCGGUUUGGCAAGUCAGAUGUGAAAUCCCCGAGCUCAACUUGGGAACUGCGUUUGAAACUGCCAGACUAGAAUAUGUCAGAGGGGGGUAGAAUUCCACGUGUAGCAGUGAAAUGCGUAGAGAUGUGGAGGAAUACCAAUGGCGAAAGCAGCCCCCUGGGAUAAUAUUGACGCUCAUGCACGAAAGCGUGGGGAGCAAACAGGAUUAGAUACCCUGGUAGUCCACGCCCUAAACGAUGUCUACUAGUUGUUGGUGGAGUAAAAUCCAUGAGUAACGCAGCUAACGCGUGAAGUAGACCGCCUGGGGAGUACGGUCGCAAGAUUAAAACUCAAAGGAAUUGACGGGGGCCGCACAAGCGGUGGAUUAUGUGGAUUAAUUCGAUGCAACGCGAAAACCUUACCUGGGCCUGACAUGCCACUAACGAAGCAGAGAUGCAUUAGGUGCCCGUAAGGGAAGUGGACACAGGUGCUUCCAUGGCUGUCCUCCAGCUCUUGUCGCUG
rnacentral:rRNA from 1 species